AAAGUAUUCAUACCCCUAGACUUUUUCCACGUUUUGUUGUGUUACAGCCUGAAUUGAAAAUGGCUUGGUUUUUGCUCUGACAUGCAUUGUCAGCUGUGGGAACUUUUAUAGACAGGUGUGUGCUUUUCCAAAUCAUGUCCAUCAAUUGAAUUUAACACAGAUGGACAGACAGAAGCCACUCCUCAGUAAAAGGUACAUGACAGCCUGCUUGGAGUUUGCCAAAAGGCACCUGAUCUGAUGAAACCAAAAUUGAACUCUUUGGCCUAAAUGUCAAGUGUCACAUCUGGAGGAAACCUGGCACCAUCCCUAUGGUGAAGCAUGGUGGUGGCAGCAUCAUGCUGUGGGGAUGUUUAUCAGCGGCAGGGACUAGGAGACAAGUCAGGAUCAAGGGAAAGGUGAACAGAGCAAAGUACAGAGAGAUCCUUGAUGAAAACCUGCUCCAGAGCAUUCAGGGCCUCAGACUGGGGCGGACCUUCACCUUCCAACAGGACAACAACCCUAAGCACACAGCCAAGACAAUGCAGGAUUGGCUUCGGGACAAGUCUCUGAAUGUCCUUGAGUGGCCAAGCCAGAGCCCGGACUUGAACCUGAUCGAACAUCUCUGGAGAGACCUGUAAAUAGCUGUGAAGCAACACUCCCCAUCCAACCUGACAGAGCUUGAGUGGAUCUGCAGAGAAGAAUAGGAAAAACUCCCCAAAUACAGGUGUGCCAAGCUUGUAGCGUCAUACCCAAGAAGACUCAAGCAUGUAAUCACUGCCAAAGGUGCUUCAACAAAGUACUGAGUAAAGGGUCUGAAUACUUAUGAAAAUGUAAUAUUUCAGUUGCAAAAAUGUAUAAAAACCUGUUUUUCCUUGUCAUGAUGGGGUAUUGUGUGUAGAUUAAAGAGGGAAAAACAUGUAUUAAUCAAUUUUAUAAUAGGGCUGUAAUGUAACAAAAUGUGAGAAAAGUCAAGGGGUCUGAAUACUUUCCAAAUGCACUGUAUAUGUCAUUUCCGCCACACCCAGGUGGUAAUGAGUAUACUAUGUAUAAUUUAUAUUGAUUAAUUUGUUGUAGAUAGGGAAAUAGAUAUGAUUGUUGUAAUAAACUCACAAAAAAAGGUUAUGUGGAAAUAUUUUAUUUUUCAUGACAAAUAAAUGUUUUCAGCUGUCACAAAGGAAAGUUUAUACAUUCAGGGGUCAUGUUGAAUUAUUAAUAUUAGGAAAACCUUAAAAAUCACUUAAAAUAAUAUUCAAUACAAGUUAACGUACAAAUAUAUAAGAAAUGUGUUAUAAAUAAAUUGUAUGAUAUUUCAUUUUCAACUAAAAAUUGAUGUUUAAUGACGUGAUGGAAAUUACAUGUGUCUAUGGCUAUCUGCGGAACAUGACAGAAAUAUAUGAAUUCCUGAAUAGUACAAUCGCAGCCAUUAUUGAAAAGAUCAUGAUUAUGAGAAAGCAAAUUACGGACUCCUCUUUAAAUCUGCGUAUUCCUUCAAAGCUCAGUUGUCCUGAGUCUGCACAACUCUGCCAGGACCUAGGAUCAAGAGAGACGCUCAAGUGUUUUAGUACUAUAUCUCUUGACAUAAUGAUGAAAAUAAUCAUGGCCUCUAAACCUUCAAGUUGCAUACUGGACUCUAUUCCAACUAAACUACUGAAAGAGCUGCUUCCUGUGCUUGACCCUCCUAUGUUGAAGCCUCUCUUGAAAAAGCCAAACCUUGACCCAGAAAAUAGAAAAAACUAUCGGCCUAUAUCGAAUCUUCCAUUCCUCUCAAAAAUUUUAGAAAAGGCUGUUGCGCUCACUGCCUUCCUGAAGACAAACAAUGUACACGAAAUGCUUCAGUCUGGUUUUAGACCCCAUCAUAGCACUGAGACUGCACUUGUGAAGGUGGUAAAUUACCUUUUGAUGGCAUCAGACCGAGGCUCUGCAUCUGUCCUCGUGCUUCUAGACCUUAGUGUUGCUUUUGAUACCAUCGAUCACCACAUUCUUUUGGAGAGAUUGGAAACCCAAAUUGGUCUACACGGACAAGUUCUGGCCUGGUUUAGAUCUUAUCUGUCUGUUCCUCAAGGUUCCGUUUUAGGACCACUAUUGUUUUCACUAUAUAUUUGACCUCUUGGGGAUGUCAUUCGAAAACAUAAUGUUAACUUUCACUGCUAUGCGGAUGACACACAGCUGUACAUUUCAAUGAAACAUGGUGAAGCCCCAAAAUUGCCCUCGCUAGAAGCAUGUGUUUCAGACAUAAGGAAGUGGAUGGCUGCAAACUUUCUACUUUUAAACUUGGACAAAACAAAGAUGCUUGUUCUAGGUCCCAAGAAAGAAAGAGAUCUUCUGUUGAAUCUGACAAUUAAUCUUAAUGGUUGUACAGUCGUCUCAAAUAAAACUGUGAAGGACCUCGGCGUUACUCUGGACCCUGAUCUCUCUUUUGAAGAACAUAUCAAGACCAUUUCAAGGACAGCUUUUUUCCAUCUAUGUAACAUUGCAAAAAUCAGAAACUUUCUGUCCAAAAAUGAUGCAGAAAAAUUAAUCCAUACUUUUGUCACUUCUAGGUUAGACUACUACAAUGCUCUACUUUUUUUAAAUCACUAAAUAAACUUCAGUUAGUGCUAAAUACGGCUGCUAGAAUCCUGACUAGAACCAAAAAAUGUAAUCAUAUUACUCCAGUGCUAGCCUCCCUACACUUGCUUCCUGUCAAGACAAGGGCUGAUUUCAAGGUUUUACUGCUAACCUACAAAUCAUUACAUGGGCUUGCUCCUACCUAUCUCUCUGAUUUGGUCCUGCCGUACAUACCUACACGUAUGCUACGGUCACAAGACGCAGGCCUCUUAAUUGUCCCUAGAAUUUCUAAGCAAACAGCUGGAGGCAGGGCGUUCUCCUAUAGAGCUCCAUUUUAAUGGAAUGGUCUGCCUACCCAUGUAAGAGACGCAAACUCGGUCUCAACCUUUAAGUCUUUACUGAAGACUCAUCUCUUCAGUGGGUCAUAUGAUUUAGUGUAGUCUGGCCCAGGAGUGGGAAGGUGAACGGAAAGGCUCUGGAGUAACGAACCACCCUUGCUGUCUCUGCCUGGCCAGUUCCCCUCUUUCCACUGGGAUUCUCUGCCUCUCACCCUAUUACAGGGGCUGAGUCACUGGCUUACCGGGGCUCUUUCAUACCGUCCCUGGGAGGGGUGCGUCACUUGAGUGGGUUGAGUGAUCUUCCUGUCUGGGUUGGCACCCCCCCCUUGGGUUGUGCCGUGGCGGAGAUCUUUGUGGGCUAUACUCGGCCUUGUCUCAGGAUGGUAAGUUGGUGGUUGAAGAUAUCCCUCUAGUGGUGUGGGGGCUGUGCUUUGGCAGAGUGGGUGGGGUUAUAUCCUUCCUGUUUGGCCCUGUCCGGGGGUGUCCUCGGAUGGGGCCACAGUGUCUCCUGACCCCUCCUGUCUCAGCCUCCAGUAUUUAUGCUGCAGUAGUUUGUGUCGGGGGCUAGGGUCAGUUUGUUAUAUCUGGAGUACUUCUCCUGUCCUAUUCGGUGUCCUGUGUGAAUUUAAGUGUGCUCUUUCUAAUUCUCUCUUUCUCUCUUUCUUUCUCUCUCUCGGAGGACCUGAGCCCUAGGACCAUGCCUCAGGACUACUUGACAUGAUGACUCCUUGCUGUCCCCAGUCCACCUAGCUGUGCUGCUGCUCCAGUUUCAACUGUUCUGCCUUAUUAUUAUUGGACCAUGCUGGUCAUUUAUGAACAUUUGAACAUCUUGGCCAUGUUCUGUUAUAAUCUCCACCUGGCACAGCCAGAAGUGGACUGGCCACCCCACAUAGCCUGGUUCCUCUCUAGGUUCCUUCCUAGGUUUUGGCCUUUCUAGGGAGUUUUUCCUAGCCACCGUGCUUCUACACCUGCAUUGCUUGCUGUUUGGGGUUUUAGGCUGGGUUUCUGUACAGCACUUUGAGAUAUCAGCUGAUGUACAAAGGGCUAUAUCAAUGAAUUUGAUUUGAUUUGAUUAUCAGAUAUUGUUUCUCGGCAAAUCAAAGACAAAUAUAAUACUGGAAAAGGGGUUUUUCAAUGACUUUUCAUUUCUGAAAGCUUGCAAGGCCAAAGUGCCCGAAGUUGCAGAAUCGCCCAUUUACUGUACAUAUGAAAUGUCUUCUUGCAUCCUUUGAAUUAGUGCUGGCUGCAUUCAUAUGCCGCGCAUUGUUGACACGUUGACUGUUUUAAUAUGGGCAUCUUGUUUUUCCCUUAUUCACUUCCAUUAAUCAAAGCCCUGAAAGGGAGGAGUAUGACAAUAACGGCCCGCUUCAGAGGCUCUUAUUGGCCAAGACAUAGCGUCAGCUAUCCAGGGUUUAUAUACACCAUUGGGAGACAAAUUGUCAAAUAUGACAUCCAUCUCGCCUGGAGGAUGUGUCAUAAUACCAAUAAAACCGAGCAGUCAAACACGAAAAUUGUCCCAAUGGUGAAUUUUACAAACACUUUAAAUUAAGUAUGUGUUUGGUGUUGGCUUACCUUGGGGUGGGGUUUUGAUAACCGCGUAAUUCCCUCUCGGACAAGGUGAGUUUUAUCAAUACAUUUGCCUCAAUUUACUAAACAAAAAAUAAACGCUAAUUAGCAACAGAGAAGACCUCAGCAAUACGACAAACUACUACGGGAAGCUACUGCACGUCAUCUCUCGUUGACGCCGUCAGCUACCAUUCACCAGCAGGAUCAAAGACCGCGUGUCCAAUCCAUGAUGAAUCCAUGCGCUGUAUUGAAAUUAAUUGAAUAAAUUGUUGAACUUCUUCCGUACCUUUUCUCUGUUUUAACUAGCCACUGACUACACUUCAGCUAGCUAGUUAACAGAGCAGUAGUUAGCGGAGCUAGUUAGACCACUACAACUUACUGCUUUGGUCAGGGCCAGCAUGAGGGAUACAGUUUAUCCUGUGUCGAUCUCUAUAGUUGACCAGGGGAUUCUCUCUACCACAUGUGAAUGCCUCCAUGGAGCUUAUCAGUGUAGCCAUGCAGCCUAUUUUGGAGGUUCACAAUAUCGGUCAUAUGGGUGUGGAAUGUAAGAGAAGGAAGCCAGCCAUGUCCAACCAGGCUCGAUCUCCACAACUGGAUGCUUGCACUCAAAAAUCACACUGGCACAGCACGUCCACGCACGGGAUGUCCUGAGGACUGGAAAACAAAGAGACAUUUGGUCAGUGGUCGGCCUUUUUCAAUGCUGCAUCAACAUCUUUAUCUGGACAGAAAAUGUAUUGUUUAUCAUAACACAAACCCACCUUGGACAAUGUGGUCCCGUCCCUCAACACCCAAUCCUCAUGCCUCAUUGUUUGUUAUUGUUUCCCAACCAACAGUCUGGAACUUCCUCUUCUGCCAUGGUGGAUGAGUUACCUUUUCUGGUAAAAAAAAAAAAAAACAGGGCCAUUUCUCUCAAUAGAGAUUGCAUCAUUUGUGGAUCUGUUGGGGCGGUAUGCAAAUUGGAGUGGGUCUAGGGUUUCUGGGAUAAUGGAUUGAUGUUUGCCAUAACCAGCCUUUCAAAGCACUUCAUGGCUACAGACGUGAGUGCUAUGGGUCAGUAGUCAUUUAGGCAGGUUAGCUUAGUGUUCUUGGGCACAGGGAUUAUGAUGGUCGGCUUGAAACAUGUUGGUAUUACAGACUCAGUUAGGGACAGGUUGAAAAUUCCAGAACGUUCCGGUGAAGGGAAAUCUUAAUGCUACAGUAUGCAAUGACAUUCUAGACAAUUCUGUACUUCCAACUUUAUGGCAACAGUUUGGGGAAUGCCCUUUCCUGUUUCAGCAUGACAAUGCCCCCGUGCACAAAGCGAGGUCCAUGCAGAAAUGGUUUGUUGAGAUCGGUGUGGAAGAACUUGACUGGCUUGCAUAGAGCCCUGACCUCAACGCCAUUGAACACCUUUGGGAUGAAUUGGAACUCCAACUACGAGCCAGGCCUAAUUGCCCUACAUCAGUGCCCAACCUCACCGAUGCUCUUGUGGCAUCAGUCAGUCCCCGCAGCAAUGUUCCAACUUCUACUGGAAAUCCUUCCCAGAAGAGUUGAGGCUGUUAUAGCAGUAAAUGGGGGACCAACUCUAUAUUGAUUUCCAUGAUUUUGGAAUGAGAUGUUCGACAAGCAGGUGUCCACAUACUUUUGGUCAUGUGGUGCAUGAAGUAGUUCCAAAAUCCCCAACGCAGAAAUGAAUGGUGAAAAAAAACAACGAUUGGAACCAUUUCCAGCUUUUUACCGCUAGGUUUUAUGGGUUAUAUGACUCAUACUGUGGUACUCAAUUUGUGCACUGCAGUCAUGCAAUCGUGAAUAUCCAGACCUCAUUAUGACUAGUCCUACAUGUGUAGCUACUGCAGUUGUUUGACACCGUCAAUAAUUGUACUUCCUGGUGACUGGUAUGCUACUGCCAUCUGCUGGACAUUAUCGCAGCAUCCCUGACAGGUACCAAUGACUGAUUU